CGGUAUCCUAACCGUGCGAAGGUAGCGCAAUCAAUUGUCCCAUAAAUCGAGACACGUAUGAAUGGCUAAACGAGGUCCCAACUGUCUCUUACAGAUAAUCAGUGAAAUUGAUCUUCCCGUGCAAAAGCAGGAAUCACAUCAUAAGACAAGAAGACCCUGUGGAACUUCAAAAUCAACAGCCACUCCCACAUACUACUCUCCCUACACAUGGCUCACUCUCCGGGACUCUACUGGCCUGUAUUUUUUGGUUGGGGCGACCUUGGAGAAAAAUAGAUCCUCCAAAAAUUAGACCACAUCUCUAUACUAAGAUCAACCCAUCUACGUGCUAACAGCAACCAGACCCAAUACCAUUGAUCAAUGAACCUAGCUACCCCAGGGAUAACAGCGCA
rnacentral:rRNA from 1 species